rnacentral:miRNA from 1 species
UGUGUGUGUGUGUGUGUGUGUGUGUGUGUGUGUGUGUGUAUAUACACACACAUACAUACACACGCGUGCACACACA